CCUACGGGUGGCAGCAGUGAGGAAUAUUGGUCAAUGGACGAAAGUCUGAACCAGCCAAGUCGCGUGAAGGAUGACUGCGCUAUGGGUUGUAGACUUCUUUUAUCUGGGAAUAAAAUGUUCCACGUGUGGGGUUUUGUAUGUACCCUAUGAAUAAGGAUCGGCUAACUCCGUGCCAGCAGCCGCGGUAAUACGGAGGAUCCGAGCGUUAUCCGGAUUUAUUGGGUUUAAAGGGAGCGUAGGUGGAUUGUUAAGUCAGUUGUGAAAGUUGGCGGCUCAACCGUAAAAGUGCAGUUGAAACUGGCAGUCUUGAGUACAGUAGAGGUGGGCGGAAUGCGCGGUGUAGCGGUGAAAUGCUUAGAUAUCACGAAGAACCCCGAUUGCGAAGGCAGCUCACUGGACUGCAACUGACACUGAGGCUCGAAAGUGUGGGUAUCAAACAGGAUUAGAUACCCGGGUAGUC
rnacentral:rRNA from 1 species